CGGGUGAGUAACGCGUACACGACCUACCUUUGGACUGGGGGGAUAGCCCUGGGGAAACUGGGAUUAAUACCGCAUAUAAUUCUGAUUAAUAAAGGAUUGGAAUGAAAGUUCAGGCGGUCAGAGAUGGGUGUGCGUCUGAUUAGCUAGUUGGUGAGGUAACGGNUCACCAAGGCGAUGAUCAGUAGGGGGCGUGAGAGCCGUGGUCCCCCCACACGGGUACUGAGACACGGACCCGACUCCUACGGGAGGCAGCAGUAAGGAAUAUUGGUCAAUGGGCGCAAGCCUGAACCCAGCCAUGCCGCGUGCAGGAAGACGGUCCUAUGGAUUGUAAACUGCUUUUAUACAGGAAGAAACAACGCUACGUGUAGCGUCUUGACGGUACUGUAGGAAUAAGGAUCGGCUAACUCCGUG
rnacentral:rRNA from 1 species